CUCCCCUCGCUGGGCAGUCGGAGGGGACGGGACGCACCGGAGGGCGGGCGGACUCGCCCUGUCGGUGACUGCGCGGUCCUGGCGCGUCCUGCCUGGCCGCAGGUGCCCUGGAUGAGGCCGCCCCGCGGGUCCCGAACGGUAACUUGACUGACUCAGGUAAAUGUCAACCUUCUGAAGACUGCUCUCUCUGGCUGCUGAAUCCCAGUGUGGCAGACAUUUACGACCAGAGCCUUGCACAGCCCAGAAGGGAGGCCCUUGGGUUCCUGUGGCAUCACCUGGAUCUUCACCUCCUGCUUCCUGAGCUCAUGACCGCUGUGAUGGGAUGGCCCCAUCUUGCUUUCUGGGGUGCUGUUCCAGGAGCUGUCACUAGAGCCCAUGAUCCCUGCCAGCUGUCCUAGUGGUCACUCAGUCCUGUCACCAGGCCUCUGCAUUUCUGCUGGCUUUCUCAACACCUGCUCAGGUGCUGUCUCAGACUCCCCUACCUCCUACUUCCUGCACUACCUCCACGUCUUCGUAUGGGUGCUUCUCCUGGACCCAGUGUUCCUGGAGAAGGGUGUCUAUUCCAGACACUCCCUGUGGCCUUCAGACAUCUGCUUGCUUUAAAAACUCCAAACUUGGCAGAUGACCAGGUUUGGCUGUGAUGCUGCUGCCCGGGUCAGAAUGUCAUACAGGCUAUCCCCCAACAGGCUACGCACCUUUCCCUGGAUAUCCUCCUGCAGGUCAGGAGUCAUCUUUUCCCCCUUCUGGUCAGUAUCCUUAUCCUAGUGGCUUUCCUCCAAUGUGGGGAGGUGCCUACCCACAAGUGCCAAGUAGUGGCUAUCCAGGAGCUGGAGGCAACCCUGCACCUGGAGGUUAUCCAGCCCCUGGAGGCUAUCCUGGUGCCCCACAGCCAGGGGGAGCUCCAUCCUAUCCUGGAGUUUCUCCAGGCCAUGGAUUUGGAGUCCCACCAGGUGGAGCAGACUUUUCUGGCUAUCCACAGCCACCUUCACAGUCUUAUGGAGGUGGUCCAGCACAGGUCCCACUACCUGGUGGUUUUCCUGGAGGACAGAUGCCUUCUCAGUAUCCUGGAGGACAGCCUACUUACCCUAGUCGGCCUGCCACAAUGACUCAGGGCACUCAAGUAACUAUCCAACCAGCUGCCAACUUCAACGCUAUGAGAGAUACAGAAAUUCUCCAUAAGGCAAUGAAGCGUUUUGGGACAGACGAGCAGGCAAUUGUGGAUGUGGUGGCCAACUGUUCCAAUGAUCAGAGGCAAAAAAUUAAAGCAGCAUUAAAGACCUCGUAUGGCAAGGAUUUGAUCAAAGAUCUCAAAUUAGAAUUAAGUGGAAAUAUGGAAGAACUGAUCCUGGCCCUAUUCAUGACUCCUACAUAUUAUGAUGCCUGGAGCUUACGAAAAGCAAUGCAGGAACUCAGGAACGUGUAUUGAUUGAAAUUUUGUGCACAAGAACAAAUCAGGAAAUCUAAGAAAUCAUCAAAUGUUAUCAGUCAGAAUUUGGACGAGACCUUGAAAAGGACAUUAGGUCAGAUACAUCAGGACAUUUUGAAUGCAUACUUGUGUCCAUGUGCCAAGGAAAUCUUGAUGAAAACCACAGUGUAAACCACCAAAUGCCUCAGGAAGAUGCUCAGCGUCUCUAUCAAGCUGGUGAGGGGAGACUAGGGACCGAUGAAUCUUGCUUUAACAUGAUCCUUGCCACGAGAAGCUUUCCUCAGCUGAGAGCUACCAUGGAGGCUUAUUCCAGGAUGGCUAAUCGAGAUUUGUUAAGCAGUGUGAGCCAUGAGUUUUCUGGAUAUGUGGAGAGUGGUUUGAAGACCAUCUUACAGUGCCCUGAACCGCCCUGUCUUCUUUGCUGAGAGGCUCUACUACACUAUGAAAGGUGCUGGCACAGAUGACUCCACCCUGUUCAGGACUGUGGUAACUCGAAGUGAAAUCGAUCUUGUACAAAUAAAACAAGUGUUCGCUCAGAUGUAUCAGAAGACCCUGGGCACAAUGAUUGCAGGUGACACGAGUGGAGAUUACCGGACACUUUUUCUGGCUAUUGUGGGCAGUAGGAGAGAUUUAUUUUUUUAAUGAAUGAAGCUAUUCACAGCUUAUCCUUCAGAGCAAUGACCUGCAUGCAGCAAUAUCAACCAUCAGCUAACCAAAAGAGCUUUCUAUCAGGGACCAUAUCAGGGUAAUGUGCUUGGUUUGCACAUGUUGUUAUUGCCUUAAUUCUAAUGUUAUUUUGUUCUCUACAUAUAAUCGAUGUAAAGCCAUAUCACAAUGAUACAGUAAUACUGCAAUGUUUGUAAAGCUUCAUUCUUACUAGUUUCAUUCUAAUCAAGAUGUCAAAUUGAAUUAAAAAAAUCACAGCAAUCUCAAAAAAAAAAAAAAAAAAACUCCCAACUUGCCAGGUUGUCCCCUGACACAUCGGUGGGGAAGAUAAUAACGGUAGAGGCAGAGAAGAGCUCUGGCUCCUGAGCUACCUGUUCUCUCUCUAUUCUCCUUCCCCUUCCACAAUCUAUGAGGAUAGAAGGGAUAUGCUUUCCUUCAUCAUCUUCUAAAAUGUAAUCAGCCAGACCUACCUCCUGAUGUGCUAAGUGAGAGUCAAAAGAAUUUAGUAAACGUUUUCUCUCUCAACAUCUAGCUUUCCAUCUGAGACUCAAACAUUACUCCAAUGUACAAGAACCUACAGAACAAUGUUUACAGGAUAUGAAAAUUUAUCUAAAAAUAAUUCCAGAAAGUAUCAACCCCAUUGCAGACACAUGUUAGUUCAACAGGAGAGACUAACUAGACCGACACUUAAUUCCAAACAUAAUAUCAUCUAUGUGUCCUUGUGUAGGGAAUGUUGAACAACACGAACACCAUCUCCAAUACUUACAUGGCAAACCUUCUUCCAAUAGCUGCUUGUUCUAUUAACCCUCCAUAAAAGUAGGCCAGAGCAUUAGGCACUUUUCUGGGGAAAGGGGCUGAUCCUGGAGAAUCUAGUUGUGCUAUAUCUGGUGUUCUCCCAUCUGGAUGCAGCUUAGACACCCCAGAUCAAUAGCAUAGCAUAGUGUAGCAUAGCGUAGCGUAGCAUAGCAUAGCAUAGCAUAGCAUAGCAUAGCAUAGCAUAGCAUAGCAUAGCAUAGCAUAGCAUAGCAUAGCAUAGCAUAGCAUGUGUCACUUCUUUCAGCCAGAGCUAGGAGGUGGGGGCAAAGGCACGGUCCAUCUCUCUCACCCUGGAGGAGGGCAGAGAGAAUUUCAAAAAGGGAUAUGGGCACAGCCAACUAUUGGCCAUCACAGUUUUUUUGACGAUUAGUCAUGAUUCAAAAUAUGAACCAGAAAUGGCUUGAGAGUUUGAGGAGGAAUGGGGUUUUGAGAGGAAAUGACUCAACAAAUACGGAUUAUUGGAGCAGAGAUCAGACUCCAGGAUCUUCUACACUCAAGCUACAGAGAUGCAACUAUCAGAAGUCUGGAUAUGGCUAGGUGGUUCAUGCCCAUAAUCCCAACACUUUGGGAGGCUGAGAUGGGAAGAUCACUUGAACCCACGAGUUUGAAACCAGCUUGGGCAACAUGGUGAAACCUUGUCUGUACGAAAAAUACAAAAAUUAGCCAGGCAUGGUGGUCUAUGCCUGUAGUCCCAGCUACUCGGGAGGCUGAGGUGGCAGGAAGGCUUGAGCUGGGGAGGUAGAGGUUGCAGUGAGCUGAGAUUGUGCCAGUGCACUACAGCCCAGGCAGUAGAGCCAGACUUGUCUCAAAAACAUAAAGUCUGGAUAUAAAUUAUGAUUCUUAGUCUCACUCUAGAAGGCUGUGAGUAGUUGCUUGAGCCAGAAAGAAGAUGAUUACAAGGAAAAUCAAGACUUUUGCAUUGGAAAGAGAUCAUCUUUCCAACCACUGCCUUUGAGAUGGAGAAAAGAAAAAUGGACGGUCACUAUCACUACUUACAUUAAUGUUAUACUAGGAAUCCUAUCCAUUUCAACAAAGAAGAAAAAGGGCCAGGCACGGUGACUCAUGCCUUUAAUCCUAGCACUUUGGAGGCCAAGGUGGGUGGAUCAUCUGAGGUCAGGAGUUCAAGACCAGCCUGGCCAACGUGAUGAGACCCUAUCUCUACUAAAAAUACAAAAAUUAGGUAUGGUGGCAUGCACCUGUAAUCCCAACUACUCAGGGGACUGAGGCAGAAGAAUUGCUUGAACCUGGGAGACGGAGGUAGCAGUGAGCAAAGAUCAUUCCACUGCACUCCAGCCUGGAUGACAGAGUGAGACUCUGUUGAAAGAAAAGAGAGAGAGAAGAAAGGAAAGAAGGAAGGAAGGGAAGGAAGGAAGGAAGGAGGGAAGGAAGAAAGGAAGGAGAAAAGAUAGAGAAAAAGAGAGAGAGGAGAGAAAGAAGAAAGAGAAAGAGAAAGAAAGGGAAGGAGGAAGGAAGGAAGGAAGAGAAAGAGAGAAAGGGACUUAAGUUUGGGGAAGAUGAGACAAACUGUUAAAUAUGUACAGACAAUAUUAUUGUUUAAAUAGAAAAUCCCAAGUUAUUAGACCAAGUAAAAGAGUUUAGCAUGAUUGCUGGGUAUAAAAUUAACAUGCAAAUCACAAGUUUAUUUCAACAGAUGGGCAAUAAACAUUGAGAAAAUAAAAAAUUUUAAAGUGAUCAUUUACAUUUGCAACACAAGUGAAGUAUUUAUGAAUAAGUCCAACAAAAUGUGUGCUGAUUUUGUAUAAAAUAUUGAACUUUAUUGAGAGACAUUAAAGAAUGCACUAAUAAAUGCAGACAUACUAUAUUUAUGGAUGAAUGAGUCUAUAUUGUAAAUAUGCCAUUUUUCCCAACUUUCUAUGUAGAUUCAAUGCAUCACAAUCAAAAUCCCAACACAUUUUUUGCAUGUAGAACUUGGUAAGCUUAUUGUAAAGUUCAUAUGAAAGUGCAAUAAUUAUAAGAACAGGUGAUGGAAUUGCCCUACCAGGUAUCAUGACUUAUUAUAAAGCCAUAGUAAUUAAGAGUGUGACAUUAGCAUAGCCAUAGAGAAAUAGAUGAAUAAAACAGAAGAGAGAGACAUGAACAGACUCACACAUAUAUGGAUACUUGAUAUAUGACUGAUGGGAGAUUAUAGGGCAGUGGGAAAAAGACUUUUUAAGAAAUGAUACUGGAGGGAAAAAAGAGCUAAAGGGGAAAAAAUGAGUCUCUACUUCACACCACAUACUAAAAUCUCUUUCAUUUGGAAUAAAGAGCUAAAUUGAAAAGUAAAACUAUAAACCUUUUAAAAAAAGGAGCGAAGCAAAUACUUUUGUGGUCUCAGAGCAAGAGUUCUUAAAUGAGAUAUAAAAGUAAGGAAUUAGCUGGGCACGAUGGCUCACACCUGUAAUCUCAGCACUUUGGGAGGCCGAGUUGGGUGGAUUACCUGGGGUCAGGAGUUUGAGACCAGCAUGACCAACAUAGUGAAACCCUGUCUCUACUAAAAAUACAAAAAUUAGCCAGGCCUGGUUGCACACACCUGUAAUCGCAGCUACUCGGGAGGCUGAGGCAGGAGAAUUGCUUCGACCCAGGAGGUGGAGGUUGCAGUGAGCUGAGAUUAUGCCAUUGUGCUUCCAGGCUGGGUAGCAAGAGCAAAACUCCAUCUCAAACAAUCAAAUAAUAAAUAAAUAGGUCCAUGAAGUAGAUUGGCAUUAAAAUUAAGCACCUCUGUUUAUCAAAAGUUAUUAUAAAAGUUGGUGAUAUUAAAUUGUUGAAAAUAUUGUUAGGUGUCAUACUGGUAUUGUGGUUAUGUUAUGAAGAGAGAUAAAUUUUGAGAUAAAUCCUCAAAAUUUUAUGAUGAAUAGUGUUUUAGAUUUGCUUAAAAAUGAAGCUAGAGGAGCAGAAGCUAAAAAGGUGUAAGUGAAACAAGAUUGUCCAUGGAAUUAUGAUUGUUGAAGCUGAGUGAUAGGUACAAGGAGAUUGAUCAUAUUAUUCUAUCUACUUUUGGAUAUGUUUGGAAUUUUAUCAUAAAUAACUUUGUGAGAGAGAGAAGACUGAGGAGGGACUAUAAAGAGAUUAAAACAGGCCGGGCACAGUGGCUCAAGCCUGUAAUCCCAGCACUUUGGGAGGCCGAGGCAGGUGGAUCAUGAGGUCAAAAGAUUGAGACCAACCAUCCUGGUCAACAUGGUGAAACCCCGUCUCUACUAAAAAUACAAAAAAAUUAGCUGGGCACGGUGGUACAUGCCAGUAAUCCCAGCUACUCAGGAGGCUGAGGCAGGAGAAUUGCCUGAACCCAGGAGGCGGAGGUUGUGGUGAGCCGAGAUCGCGCCAUUGCCCUCCAGCCUGGGUAACAAGAGCGAAACUCCAUCUCAAAAAAAAAAAAAAAAAAGGGGAGAGAUAGAGAGAUGAAAACAAACCACAAACUGGAACUACACAUAACCAAUGAAGAACAUAGAAAAAACUAAAAAUCAAGGGAAAAAACCAGUUUUUCAAAGGUAACAGACUUGAACAGACAAGUCUGAAAAGUGGAAAUCCAAAUAGGUAAGAAACAAAAAAACAGCUCAACUUCAUUAAUAAUCUGGGAAAUAAAAAUUUAAACCACAAUAAGAUACCAUUUUGUAUCCCCCAGAUUGGAAAAAUUAAGUCUGUAAUACCAAGAGAUGACAAGGAUGCAGAUGCCUCUGGGAGUAUAACUUGGUACCGCCAAUGUGGAAACCAACCAGACUUGAUCUAGUAAUGGUAAAGACCAUGUCAUCCAGCAACUUUAUUGCUAAACACCCUAGGGCAACCCAUGCAUGUGUGCGCCAGAGACAAGAAAACUUCCAGCAACAACAUUGGUGAGGACCUAACACCGGGAACAACUCAAACGUCCAUCAACCAUAAAAUGCAUAAACUGUGAGCUUGUAUGAUAUAUGAAAUCUCAUCAGUGAAAAUAUAUACAAUGAAACUGUAGCUAUGCUGACCAAGUGAAGCGAAUGAUAAAAGAAUGCACACAGUAUAUUUAUUCCCAAGUUUGAAAAAUAACUAAACUAGUGGGUUAAACUAUAUCAAGCUGUAUGAAAUUGCAGAGAUUCAGCUACUUUUCUCUUACAAAUGGCGUUUAUUAUUCACUCUAAUACUGUUUAGGGUGCAUGCAUAAAUGGUAAAACCAUAAAAAAAGCAAGGUUCAAUCAGACAUUUUCUGAUUCACAGAAAAGUUAGGAUAGUGUUACCUCUGAAGGAAAGAAGGGAGAUUUGACUGGGGAAGGAUCUGUGAUGUUGGUAGUGAGGAACUUCACAGGUACUAGUGAUGUUCUAGUCGAUUUAUUUAUCUCAUGGGUGGUCAAAAAAAUUGCCUUAUUUAUUUAUUUAUUUAUUAUUUUAGAGACAGGGCUUUGCUCUGUUGCCUAAGCUGGAGUGGCAUGAUCAUGGUUCACUGCAGCCUCCAACUGCUGGGCUCAAGUGAUCCUCCAGCCUCAACCUCCCGAGUAGCUGGUAUCACCAGCACAUGCCAUCAUGCCCAGCUAAUUUUUUUAUGUUUUGUAGAGAUGGGUUCUUGCUAUGUUGCGCAGGUUGGUUAUGAACUUACUGGGCUCAAGUGAUCCUGCUGCUUGACCUCCCAGAGUACCGGGAUUACAGGCGGGAGCCGCCAUGCCCAGCUAAUGUUUGCUUUAUAGUUCUACUUUAAACGAUGCAUAUGUUUUACACAUUUAAAAUGGUUUUAUUUUUUAAAUAAAAAGAGGAAAUAAAACCGUAGAUGCAGGUUCUGAACUCAGGGCACACUAGCCAAGCAAGAGAUCAGGGCACAGUUGAGAGAUGGAGAGAGCAGGGCAUCUGCUGCUGAAGGAUAGGGGACUAUGUCACAGAUAACCUGUAAUGGUUUGUUUUGCAUUGUCUUGUUUUUCCCAGAUAACAAUUUUAAUACAGUUAUUAUUCUACCCAGAAUGCUGAAUAUGACAAAUUGAUUUAUUCAUGACUUUACUUGUAAUUAUGUAUAUAAUAAAUUACUUAAGUGUGUUUCCCCAGCAGAGAAUGAGCCCCCAGGGGCAAGGCCUGGGAAGUUUUCAUGCUUGUACCAGUAAAGCAGAGUGCCUAACGCUGUAGCUUCUCAAUUAAAAGGUCACUGAAAGGAUGGACUCCAGAUGAAUGGAUGGACAAGUAGACGGAUGGACAGACACCUUAGGGAGUUUUGUUUUAUUUUAUUUUGAGACAGAGUCUCACUGUGUCUCCCAGGCUGGAGUGCAGUGGCAUGAUCUCGGCUCACCACAACCACCACCUCCUGGGUUCAAGCGAUUCUCCUGCCUCAGCCUACUGAGUAGCUGGGAUUACAGGUGUGUGCCACCAUGCCUGGCUAAUUUUGUAUUUUUAGUAGAGACGGGGUUUCUCCAUGUCUGUCAGGCUGGUCUCAAACUCCCAACUUCAGGUGGUCCGCCCGCCUCAACCUCCCAAAAUGCUUGGGAUUACAGGUGUCAGCCACCAUGCCUGGCCAGGGGUUUUAUUUUCAGAAUUAGUGAAGGGAUUUUUUUUUAAAUCUCCCGUGGUGAAUGGAGUGGUUUUAUAAACAUCAAAGUGCUGGUGUGGUAUAAACAGAGACUACAGCAUAUUUAAUGAUUUAGUGAAUGGGACAACGCAUUCCGUAUUUUGAGUGCUUCGUUAAGUCCCCAUCUUAUUAUGCUGUUGGCAUUUGUC